AUACCAUUGCCAACUAUGAGCUGGUCUACAAAGAUGGGGAGCAUGGAGAGGAGCAACGAAUUACCAUUGAGCCAGGGACAUCAUAUAGGCUGCAAGGACU